CACCUGGACCUGAUCUCACGUCCCAGGCGCCAUAUUUGGUCUUCCCAGGGGCCACAUUGGUGAUGGUCCGCUUAGUGUUUUAACAGAAGUUCUAACUAUUUAUCAUGAUCCGGAAAUGUUCCCAGUAAAUGAAUGUUAUCUGUGGCUUGUAGCAGUGCCUGGAAAAAAGUACAUUUUAGGGGCGCCUGGGUGGCUCAGUUGGUUGAGCAUCCGACUUCGGCUCAGGUCAUGAUCUCACGGUUUGUGAGUUUAAGCCCCUCAUCGGGCUCUGUGCUGACAGCUCGGAGCCUGGAGCCUGCUUCGGAUUCUGUGUCUCCCUCUCUCUGCCCCUCCCCCACUAGUGCUCUCCUUCUCUCUGUCUCUCUUUCACUCUCUGUCUCGCUCUCUCAAAAAUAAACAUUGAAAAUAAACUUUUUUUUAAACUAAAAAAAAGAAACUACGUUCUCCAUUUGGAAAGAAAAUCCAGGCCAAGAAAAUGGUAUUAUCAGGUAGGGUUUGUUCUCAGUCCCUUUCCUCUGUGGAGGGGGGCUAUAGGGAUUGUGAGGGGAAUGAGGUGGGUGCAGUCAAAGGGGUCCUCAGUGUGGCCUUGGCAAUGGAGUUGAGACCUGCACUCCCUGAGUUUACUGAGGCCUUGCUUUGACUCAAGCAGAAGUCAGAAUCCAGUGGGAUACAGAACAGUUGGUAACGAGCGCUGCUUGGGGACUGGGUGUCAGUGCCUUGCACAUUCACGUGACAGCUGAGACAGAGGCCUGAGGUCCAGCCCUCUCUUGGCUGCCCUUGGCCCUUUGUAGGGUUUUUGUUUUAAAUAAAUGAUGUUGUCACAGUUUAAUUGUGAACUUGGCAACAAUGUAGCCACAUCUUUUUCAAGACUAAAACCAAAAAUGGUUUAAAAGGCACUAGGUGUCGUUGUCGUUGUCGCUGGCUUUCCUUUACCUCUCCUAUCUGUUUUCUCCCUCUUUCCUGUGUCGGAUGAUGGUGUAAAUAGCUCCCUUUGUCCAGUGGAACAAAGAAAAAAACCUGAUGGAAAAGACUGAGACAGAAGGAGACAGUGCGAGUCGGGGAGGGGCAGAGAGAGAGGGAGACACAGAGUCCGAAACAGGCUCCAGGCUCCGAGCUGUCAGCACAGAGCGGGGCUUGAACCCACGAACCGCGAGAUCGUGACCUGAGCCGAAGUCGGACGCUUAGUCGACUGAGCCACUUGGGCGCCCCAAUACAUUUCCGUUUUUGAAUGCAGCGCCAGGCCUUGGAGUUCAGGAGCCGUUUAACGUGAUGUUCUCCCUGAGCAGUGUCAAGUUACAUCUCCUAGGUUUCUGUAAUCUGUCCUGGGGAGGAGACGGGCCGUUCCCUUCACGGUCUGCCAUUUGCUGCUUCAACCGUGUCCACGCCGUGAGCGGCCUGGCCACCUCUCAGAGGACAUGCGGGUGUGGUGGCCCGCACGGCCAGGCUGCUGAUUUGUCCAGGUUGCAGGAACUGGGAUUGUUACACUGAAAUGAUCCGAAUGCUAAACGUUGCUGAAAUUGCACAAAGAGGCCUGGCUGGCCAAACAGAAAUGCGUGUGGCCCACAUGUAGCUCACGGGCCACGGUGUUCGGCCGCUUGCUGCGCGUGGACGUGGGAUUUCUCUCUGUGCCUCAUGUUCUGUCCCGACUCUUCUUGUUCUCUCAUGGAAAAUGGCAGAAAGUUCUGGAAACCUUCAUUUUGUGCUGCUUUUAAUUGUGAUAAAAUUUACAUAACAGAAAAUUCAUCAUUUGAACCAUCUGAAAGUCUCCAGUUCCGCGGCAGGAAGCACAUCUGCAGUCUGGUGUCACGACCGCCUCCGCCUGGUUCCGGAACCCCGUGUUACCCGGAACAGAAACCCCACACUCCUCUCCCCCGCCACCAGCUCCUGACAACCACUUACCAGCUUUCUGUUUCUACCACCAGGCCAGUGAAGAUAAAAAGCCAUCCGGGAAAAAAAGCCAUGUGAGCAUCCUGAAGCGUGAUUCUCGUGGCCAACUUUAUAAGCGUCACACGGGGCGUGAUGGUGAUUCUUGCGAAUACGAGAAGGCAUAGGAUGAACCUAGUAGAGACUUCUUCAUGAAGUAAAUGGGUGGAGCCCGGAUGGGGGUAAGGAACGGUGUUGGUGCUGGGGUGGCGGAGCCUGGGGGUGCCGUGCGGAUGAAGCCGGAGGUUGGUCGGGCCACUCCUGGCAACGGCCACGAGGGCUCAGACACAAGCCAUUUUCCGAGGCCGCAGUAACACACAGCCUCGGCUCGUGUGGCGCGCUGACGGGCUCUGUGUCCCGUCGGGUGCGGUGGGCACUGCGGGGGUGGCGUGUGCUCUCUGGACCCCUAUCCCUCCCUGUGAGCUCCAGCAGGUGGCCCGCCGGUGUGUUCCCUGUGUUCUGGGGCCGGGGUGCAGGAGGCCCUCAGUGGACAUGAGGUGGUCCCCGAGGACGGAGCCCUGCAGGCAGUGCCGCACAGCACCCACGGAGAGAGCACCACAGCAGUGAGGAAAGCACAGUACACAUGAUAACACAGUACACAAUUCACAAUACAAGAAGAAGGGACUUGCUGAAGGUCACAUGGCCACUAAGCAGAGGAUCAGACGGCGGCUGCCAGCAGCCACGUGUGGCUUUGAACCCGAGAUGUGGCCGGUCCCCAUGGAGCUGCGUUGUGGGCGUAAAAUGCAUGCUGACUUCGAAGACUCACUAGGAUACAAAGUAUGAACUAAUGCAUCAGUUUUUUAUGUUGAUGACACGUUGAGAUGACAUUGUUUUGGGUAUAUUGUUUAAAGUUAAGCAUGUUUUAAAAGUCCCAUUCACGUUCUUUUGGCUUCUAGACCAUUUAGAAUCCACAUAUGGCUGUCACGUUUGUGCUGGGUGCACCGACUCACACCCCGUGAAGGUGGGCGGGGGGCCCUAGUGCAGCCGUGGCCUUCGGGGUCCCAGCAGUCUCCGUGUCUCUUGGUAUGGGCUCUCGCCUUCAGCAGCUGUUUGGGGGACAUGACGUAAAUAUCCUGAGCCUUGUUUCUUUCAUCUGCAGAGCAGGGUCAAGUGUGAGGGUGCAUGUGAAGGGCCGUGGGGGGUGAAGGGUGUCUUUCGGUGUGCGAUCGAUUGCCUUUCCCUGACAGCUGAAGACGUUGAUCUUUUCGUGAGCUUGUUGGCCAUUUGUACAUCUUCUUUGGAGAAAUGUCUGUUCAGAUUCUUUGCCCAUUUUUCAUCGGCUUAUUUGUCAUUGUGGAGACGUAAUAGUUACAUGUUUUGGACGCUAGACUCUUGCCAGAUAAGGGAUUUGCAAACAAAAGCUCUGUGAGUUCAUUCCUGGACUCAGUUUUAGUCCGUUGAUCUGUGUGUGUGCGUCCUGAUGCCAGCACCACGCUGCCUCGACUACCGAAGCCUUGUAGUGUGUUGCGAGGUCAGAAUGUGUGGGUCCUCCGACUUUUUUUCUCUCAAGAUUAGUUUGGCUCUUCUGGGCAUCUUGUAUCUGGGUUGUCAGUUUCUUCAACGAUUUGGGGAUUUGGGUGAGGACUGGGUCACAUCUGCAGAUUGCUUUGGGGAGUGCCGCCGUCUUAGCACAAUGAAGCCCUUCCACCCCACGAACGUGGGAUGAGUUUCCAUUUGUUUAGACCUUCUUUGGUUUCUUUCGCCAGUGUUCUGUAGCUCUCAGUGUGUAAGUCUUUUGCUUCCUUGGUUACAUUCAUUCCAUUCAUAGAUAUUUUCUUGUUUGGUGAUAUUGGAAGUUGAGCUGGUUCCUAAUUUUCUAGUUGGGUUGUUUGUUAUAGGCGUAAACAGACAAAACCGACUUUCUUGUGUUGACCUUGUACCCUGAAACUCGGUUGAAUUCACUUACUAGCUCUAAUAGUGUUCUGAUAGAUGUUUUUGGGUUUUCCAUCAUGCCACCUGCAGAGAGAGUUUACUUCUUCCUUUCCAACUUGGAUACCUUUUAUAUCAUUUUCUUGCCUAUGUGCUCUUUGGUGAGUGUGAUUGUUUUUUUAUCACGAGUGUGUGGGAUUUUGGCAGGUGCCUUUUCUGCGUCUGUUUAGAGAUCUUAUGGCUUUUGUCCUGCCACACUGUCAUUCGUAGUCUGAACUUGAAAGCACAGUGACCUCAGCAUUCUGAUGAUGGAAUGGUGGGCCUUUGCUAGAACUGACUUCCGGGUUUUAGAAGGACGGCAGGGGAGAAUGUGUGCCAACCUUAAAUACGCCUGGCACACGGUGGGCUUGCGUGUCCGGCCAGUGGCUGCAUGGCUCCUUCUGAAUGGUGACCGCCACCAGGGCCUGCCUAGGUGCUGAGAGGCAGCUGCACAGCCGUGUGCCACAGCUUCCAGCCGAUAGGUGUCAGUGGGGACGGCAGAGCUGGAGGUUGCUGAGGGUGUGCAGGUGGCCUCGCGUCCACGGUGAGACCGGGCGUGCCGUGCGCUCUUGGCAUGGACACCCGCAUGUGUGCUCUCGCUGAGGUCAGCUGCCCGGGUGGCUACCGCGUUUUAUGGGAAAGCAUUGGACCGUGAAUGUACAACCAAAGAAGUUUCCCAAAAUAACUUCUUCAGCACCUGGCCGAAGGAGGUGGUGCAGGUGGCCGUGGCAGCCGUCCUGGACCCACCACACCAGGGCUGGGUGCCAUCGGCUGCUGCCUCUUGCAGCCUCUUGACCUCUGAGGCCACCCAGUUUUCUCAGGAAGGCCUAGUGCUCUUUCGACAUCCCCCUGCCUGGCCACUGUUUUUCAGGGGCGCUGGAGAGGCAGUCAGAGGGCGUGGGGCCACCUUGCUUCAGGUGCACCUGUGAGGGUGGCCAUGGCUGCCACAGAGCGGGGGAUCGCAGGAGCCCAGGAGGGGCACUUUCUGGCCCCCAGAAAACGGGAAGCUUUGGUGGGAAGCUCUUUGAAGAUAAGGUGCUACGUUAAGGUUUUAUUUCUUUUCUCAUUAAAAAAUAUUGAGUUAUGCGUGGGUCAGCACUAACCUGGGCAUCCAGCUGAAUCACAUUUUCCAUACGUGCUCGCCCAUGGGACUCCCCCAGAGAAAGAACAUUCCGGGCCUGUUCCCAGGCUUCCUUCGGCAGGACACCUGUGUGGCUCUGUCCCUGGAUUGCUGACCACUACAUGGUGGUGUCCUCCACUGCAUGAACACACGUGACUCCGUUUCCCUGUUGGCAUUCAGACCACCAGCCUGAACAAGCACCUCAGGACACGGUGGACAGACAGCCUGACCUCCAAAGAGCUCCGUGUCCGCAAGGCCAGCGUCUCUCUGCAGGAGCAGCUGUGGGCGCUGAGCAGAGGGGAGCACGUCCCCACCCGUCAAAGGAGAAGGUGUCCUGGCUGUGUGCUGGUGCACAGCUGCUUGGUCCGGGGGAGGAUGCUGCACGGCCAGCGUCCAGGGAAGGAGUGGAGCCUGUCUGGCCUGAGGGGACCGUCCACGAUCGAGCCGAGUAGGAAGGGUCGGGAUGUGCCUGUCUCAGCUGAGUGGCCAGCGGGACCCCAGGCCUGGUCGCCAUGCCUCCCUUGCGGGGCCUGCUGCUCCCGGGCGCCUCUGCUCAGCACCCCCUCCCUCAUCAUGUCAGUCUUGCAGCCGCACAACCUCGCCUCUCAGCACCGUUGUUUCUGAAGCGCUGCCACCCCCUCUGUGCGUCCUUCCCGAGCGCCAGCCGUAAUCCAAAGAAGACGGGGCGGCGGGAAGUCCGGGAACGCGUUGGAGAGAACGCAGAGUGCUGGUCUGAUGGGUGUGAGGCGGUGUCUCACUGUGGGUUUGAUUUGCACCUCCCCGGUGGUUAAUGAUGCUGGGCAUCUUUUCUGUGCCUAUUGGCCAUUUGUCGGUCUUUUUGGAGAAAUGUCUCUUCAGAUUCUUUGUGCAUUUUUUAAGUUUAUUUUUUGAGAGACAGCAGGAGCAGGAGAGGGGCAGAGAGAGAGGGGGACAGAGGAUCUGAAACAGGCUCCAGGCUCCACGCUGACAACAGAGAGCCCGACACGGGGCUUGAACCCAUGAACCGCGAGAUCAUGACCUGAGCCGAAGUCAGACGCUUAACCGACUGAGCCCCCCGGGUGCCCCAUUUUUGUGCACUUUUCAGCUGGGAUGUUGUUUCACUGUUGAUCUGUAAGGGCUCAUUCUUCAUUCUGGGUACAAGUCUCUUUUCAAACAUAUGAUUUGAAAAUACUUUCUCCCAUUCUGUGGGUUGCCUUUUCACUUCCUUGAUAGUAUCCUUUGAAGCACAAAUUUUUAAAAUUUUGAUGAAGCCGAUUAAUCUUUUUUUGUUGUUGCUUAUUCUUUUAGGUGUGGUGCUUAAUAGCUUUGCCUAACCCAGGGCCGUGAAGAUAUAUCCCCAGUUUCUUACAAGUUUUAUAGUUGCAAUGCUUACGUGGAGGUUAUUGAUACAUUUCAAGUUAACUUCUGUAUGUGGUGUGAGGUUCUUUUGGCUCUUCGGGGUCGCUGAAGUGUCACCUGAACUUGAGGGUUCAGCCAGCUGGGAUUCUGAUAGGGAUUGCCUUGAAUCUGAUCGAUUCGGGAAGUAUCAUUUGGAGCUCGUGUUCAGUCAUCAUGACUUGGCAUUUCCUCAGUCACCCUUGUUUCUCCCCAGACCCUUUCGUCUGGGUUUUGUGCACGGGGGACAAAAGCAUGUCCACAGAAAAACAUUUCCAGGGCUUGGGCAGGACAGAGUGCUCAAUUUCCACAGAAGUUCUAAACGUGCGUGGGUCUCUUCUUCUGCUGACCCAGGGAGCGGCCGCAUCUGACAGUCCCCCGCCCGACUGCGUGUGUGCAGCAGCAGGGGCAGCUGAGAUGGAGGCCAGUGCUCCCUCCCCCUCUGCACAGUGCACUUACCUGCAAAGUCCAAGGUCGAAAGGUGAGACAUGUGGAGGCCGUGCCCACCUGCUCUGGCAGAUGUGCAAGACUCUGGUGGGGAUGCACUCAGGCUGUGUCCGGAGCACACAGCCCGUCACACUUGAUCUCUGUUGGCCCCUCCAGAACACAGGCCUUCUCCUGUGGGUUUGUCCAGCCGCAGCCCUGACGUUUGUGCAGUUUAGCACCCCACGCGCCGGUGGCCUGAAUCUGCAUCGUCCCCGGGUCUGAGGCCCGCCUGGGGCCUUCUGUCAGCCCUGUUCUGCUGAGGCUGAAACUCCCACAGCCACUAGUGUCUGGUCUCUGCUUGGGGGCCAAUCCGGACAAGACCUUUGAAUAAGGAUCCCAAGCGGACGGGUAGCUUGCCUUCCGCAGCCGCACAGCAGAGACCCUGUGAGUCCAAGUGCAAGGCUUUCCCCGGCCCUCAUUAGCGUCUGUCCAGAGGUCAGAACCCGCCUGCUCACAGAGACACGCCUCAGGCCAGAGAGUCACCGCCAAGGGCUCAUCAGCUGCCCCACCAGCUUGUCAGACUCAAGUGUGUCUCCGUUUGCAGGGAGCACCUGUGUCCCCAGAGGCUCCAAUAGGGGAAACAAUGGUAAAAAGCCAUCAUUUGGGGAGACUUGAGUUUCCAGUACUCAGCUUAAAUUCUGACCCUCCCACUGGCUGUACGACACAAGGCUGUGGGGUUCCACUAAUGUUUUUUCUUGGCAAUUUUUCUUAGCGGGACGAUCCCUUUCGCAUUUAUGAAGUUACCAGCAUUUAACGUUUUGCAUCAAUAUUUUACUACACAGGUGGAUGCAGUAGCCACAAAAUAAAGUCAUUACAAAAGUUCCA